GACAGAGGAGGCAAGCGUUCUCCGGAAUUAUUGGGCGUAAAGCGUCCGUCGGUGGUUUGGCAAGUCUGGGGUUAAAGCCCGGAGCCUAACUCCGGAUCGGCCCUGGAAACUGCCAGACUAGAGUAAGGUAGGGGUUGCGGGAAUUCCCGGUGUAGCGGUGAAAUGCGUAGAUAUCGGGAAGAACACCAGUGGCGAAAGCGCGCAACUGGGCCAUUACUGACACUGAGGGACGAAAGCUAGGGGAGCGAAGGGG
rnacentral:rRNA from 1 species